AUGAGUGAUGUUGAGAAAGUCAAGAAGAUUUUUGUUCAGAAGUGUGCCUAGUGUUACACCGUGGAAAAGGGAGGCAAGCACAAGACUGGGCCAAAUCUCCAUAGUCUCUUUGGGUGGAAGACAGGCCAGGCUGCUAGAUUCUCAGAUGCCAAUAAGAAUGAAGGCAUCACCUGGGGAGAAGAUACCCUGAUGGAAUAUUUGGAGAAUCCCGAGAAGUACAUCCCUGGAACAAAAAUGAUCUUUGUUGUCAUUAAGAAAAAGGGAGAAAGGGCAAACUUGAUAGCUUAUCUCAAAAAAGCUACUAAUGAGUAAUAAUUGGCCACUCCCUUAUUUAUUACAAAACAGAAAUGUCUCAUGACUUUUUUUUAUGUGUACCAUAAUUUAAUAGAUCUCUUACACUAGAAUUCAUAUCUUGAGUGGCUGACAGAAUAUUUUUGUUGGACAGUCCUAAUUUAAUUAGGACUGGUUUGUGGUUAUGUGAAUAAGAUCUUUUUUUAAAUUUCAACAGUAAUUUCAAUUUAGAAAAUGCUAUCACUGUUU